rnacentral:rRNA from 1 species
CCUACGGGCGGCAGCAGUAGGGAAUCUUCCACAAUGGGCGAAAGCCUGAUGGAGCAACGCCGCGUGGGUGAAGAAGGUCUUCGGAUGGUAAAACCCUGUUGGUAGAGAAGAAAGUGCGUGAGAGUAACUGUUCACGUUUCGACGGUAUCGAACCAGAAAGCAACGGCUAACUACGUGCCAGCAGCCGCGGUAAUACGUAGGUGGCAAGCGUUAUCCGGAUUUAUUGGGCGUAAAGGGAACGCAGGCGGUCUUUUAAGUCUGAUGUGAAAGCUUUCGGCUUAACCGGAGUAGUGCAUUGGAAACUGGGAGACUUGAGGGCAGGAGAGGAGAGUGGAACUCCAUGUGUAGCGGUGAAAUGCGUAGAUAUUUGGAAGAACACCAGUGGCGAAGGCGGCUCUCUGGUCUGUAACUGACGCUGAGGUUCGAAAGCGUGGGUAGCAAACAGGAUUAGAUACCCUUGUAGUC